GAUUAACGCUGGCGGCGUGCACAACACAUGCAAGUCGAACGAUGAAACUUAGUAGACUUCUUCGGAAAGACAUUAAGCGGCUUAGUGGCGAACGGGUGAGUAACGCGUGAGUAACCUGCCUUACACAAGGGGAUAGCCUUUGGAAACGAAGAAUAAUACCCUAUAAAACCAUAAAAGCACAUGCUAGAAUGGUCAAAGUGCUAGCGGUGUAAGAUGGACUUGCGUCUGAUUAGCUAGUUGGUGAGAUAAAAGCUCACCAAGGCAACGAUCAGUAGCCGGCUUGAGAGAGUGUACGGCCACAUUGGGACUGAGACACGGCCCAGACUCCUACGGGAGGCAGCAGUGGGGAAUUUUGCACAAUGGGGGAAACCCUGAUGCAGCGACGCCGCGUGAUUUAGAAGGCCUUCGGGUUGUAAAAAUCUUUUGUAUAGGAAGAAAAUGACAGUACUAUACGAAUAAGGUCCGGCUAAUUACGUG
rnacentral:rRNA from 1 species